GCCUAAGUAACUCAAAAAGGAGUUAAAUUCCGAAAAAAUUACAGAUAUAGGUUAAAAUCCUAUCUAAGGCA
rnacentral:tRNA from 1 species